rnacentral:lncRNA from 1 species
UCAAAAGCCGGUGUGUGUGCAGUGUUUGCUGUAAGAUGUUAACUGUCCACUUCCGUACACGUGGACUCCAGUGGAUUUCUGUAUGUUGAAUUAUCUCUGCAUUUCUUGGAUGAAGCCUGCUUGAUUGUGGAUCUCUGCAUGCUGGUAACUGAAAUCCAAUCAUCAGGAAUCCCAGUGCAGCAGGAUGUUAGAGAAAAUAAACAAGUUCAAUUCCACCAAACGUUGGUGAAUGAUGGCCCAAUCAGCCUGUACUUCCUUGCUCUCCUGCUGCAAUGUCAUCGACUUCUUCUUUAUAAGAUUCUCCUCCAUCAGGAGCCGGCUGUGCAGGUUACUGUAAGGACACUCUGCAUGAUGUGGCUCAAAGGGAAGAUGUGAGGACACCUUGGGUUCCUCUGAAUGGACAGAGUGAUAUGAAAUGGGCACUGACCAGGCUGAGAAACACUGCUGAGGCCCAUAUUCCAGGUAACAAGCACAUUCUCUGCCCUCCUUCCAAAGAACUCCUGUUGAGGCCAUGGACCUUGUCUACACAUGGGAACAUCAUGCAGACAUCUUUCCUAAUGAUACAAAGUUCUC